rnacentral:rRNA from 1 species
CGGGGGGACGAGGGUGACAGGUGGUGCAUGGUUGUCGUCAGCUCGUGUCGUGAGAUGUUGGGUUAAGUCCCGCAACGAGCGCAACCCUCGACCUUAGUUGCCAGCAUUCAGUUGGGCACUCUAAGGUGACUGCCGGCUAAAAGUCGGAGGAAGGUGGGGAUGACGUCAAAUCAUCAUGCCCCUUAUGACCUGGGCUACACACGUGCUACAAUGGGCGGUACAAAGGGUCGCGAACCCGCGAGGGGGAGCCAAUCCCAAAAAGCCGCUCUCAGUUCGGAUUGCAGGCUGCAACUCGCCUGCAUGAAGCCGGAAUCGCUAGUAAUCGCGGAUCAGCAUGCCGCGGUGAAUACGUUCCGGGCCUU